AUGUUCAGAGGGAGAUGAUGCCACAUCUGGUCCAGCUGAUGGAAGGUCUUGAAGUUCUCUGACUGGCCUCGACUGAAGAUGGUCCUCUCACUAUGUUUAAGAUGGACAAAGAGGGACAUCUGCAGAGACUGAGAAAGAGUCUCACCUCAUCCUGACAUGAGGAAAAAGACUUUAUUGAAGACUACAAUGAGAAAAACUAUCAGACAGCAGACGGCUGCAUUCAAGUCUGUAGCUGCUGAAUUCAUGGAUGAAUCAUCUGGCACUAGAGAGGAAGACCAUCAAACAUCCACAUCAGCUGAUGGAGAUCCAAGAGUCUCACCGAACAAACAACCUACAGAGUGAAGACCUCAAAUCUGAUUGGACGGCCUCCUAUUCAGCCACGUGUCUCAACAAAU
ensembl:lncRNA